rnacentral:rRNA from 1 species
CCUACGGGUGGCAGCAGUGAGGAAUAUUGGUCAAUGGCCGAAAGGCUGACCCAGCCAAGCCGCGUGAAGGACGAAGGUGCCAAGCAUUGUAAACUUCUUUUGUCAAGGGACAAAAUCAGGCUCGAGCGCCUGACCGAGGGUACUUGAAGAACAAGCAUCGGCUAGCUCCGUGCCAGCAGCCGCGGUAGUACGAGGGAUGCGCGCGUUAUCCGGAUUUAUGGGGUUUAAAGGGUGUGUAGGCGGACUGUUAGGUCAGCGGUAAAAGCCCGGGGGUCACCCCCGGCGAGCCGUUGAAACUGGGUGUCUUGAGAUGUCGAGAGGUAUGCGGAAUGCGCAGUGUAGCGGUGAAAUGCUUAGAUAUUGCGCAGAACUCCGAUGGCGAAGGCAGCAUACCGGCGGCGAUCUGACGCUGAGGCACGAAAGCGUGGGUAUCGAACAGGAUUAGAUACCCGUGUAGUC